rnacentral:rRNA from 1 species
AAGCCAUGCAUGUCUAAGUGCAAGCCGGCUAGUACGGUGAAACCGCGAAAGGCUCAUUAAAUCAGUUAUGGUUCCUUAGAUCCUACCCACGAUACUUGGAUAUCUGUGGUAAUUCUAGAGCUAAUACAUGCCGACGGAGCCCCGAACGGUCGCGCGAGUUCGCUCUGCGCGUACGGGAGGGGCGCUUUUAUUAGAUCAAAACCGGCCAGGCGACGUUUACGCGUCGUCAGUGGCCCGCGCAUAGAUUUGGCGAUUCUGAAUAACUUUGAGCUGAUCGCACGGUCCUCGUACCGGCGACGUAUCUUUCAAAUGUCUGCCUUAUCAACUGUCGACGGUAGGUUCGACGCCUACCGUGGUGGUAACGGGUAACGGGGAAUCAGGGUUCGAUUCCGGAGAGGGAGCCUGAGAAACGGCUACCACAUCCAAGGAAGGCAGCAGGCGCGCAAAUUACCCACUCCCGGCACGGGGAGGUAGUGACGAAAAAUAACGAUACGGGACUCUUAUGAGGCCCCGUAAUCGGAAUGAGUACACUUUAAAACCUUGGUCAC